CAACCAUCAAGCUCUGCUUGCGUUGGGGAUCCGCGUCUGACGCGGUCCCUCAAAAACAGUGGCGGGCUCGCUAGUCACACCGAGCGUAGUAACUCUACAUCGCUAUGGUCGUGCGGCGGGUUCUUGCCGUAAAACCCCCAAUUUCUAAGG
rnacentral:misc_RNA from 2 species